rnacentral:rRNA from 1 species
GGGGGGGGGGGGGGGGGGGGCGGGGGGGGGGGGGGCGGGGGGGGCGGGGGGGGGUGGUGGGGCGCGGGGGCGGGGGGCGGGGGGACCUGCCGGUAGGGGCGGGGUGGCGCAGGGAAGUUUGAGCUAAUACGGGAUAGUGUCCUCGGACCAACGAUGUAUCGCCUUUGGAUGGGCCCGCGUUGGCGUAGCUCGUUGGUGGGGUAAAGGCCUACCAAGGCGACGCUCCAUAGCUGGUCUGAGAGGAUGAUCAGCCACACUGGGACUGAGACACGGCCCAGACUCCUACGGGAGGCAGCAGUGGGGAAUAGUGGACAAUGGGCGAAAGCCUGAUCCAGCAAUGCCGCGUGAGUGAUGAAGGCCUUAGGGUUGUAAAGCUCUUUUACCCGGGAUGAUAAUGACAGUACCGGGAGAAUAAGCCCCGGCUAACUCCGUG